AAAAUGUUGGAGCCAUUUUUGGAGGUCAACACUAUAUAUAACAGUAUUUAAAAUUCCAAUUCAUUUUUACCAAACCCUAGCUUCCAAGAUCCUCAUUUCGGAUAUGUAUUCAAAAACUGCACAGAUCAAAUAAACAAAUCAAUACGAAAGGAAAAGUCAGAUUAGAUUUCAGAGAUGCCUUACCCACAUCUUACGAGGCUCUGAUAUCAAUUUUGUUAGGAUUUCAUGUACUAAAAUAGACAGAAAGUAAAUCACCGAAUAAUAAACUCGUAUAAAAUGGUAAUAUCAACAUAAGAAAUGGUCACCUAGUUUGGCAUCGCCUAAUCUGGGGGCUCAGAGCUAAAGAGCCCAUCACUAUGCACAAAGAACCGUCAAAGAAAGAGUUUGAGAUUAGAGUACAACAAUCAGACCAAACACACUGUCAUUGAUCUAUAUAAAUCUCAAGAAAAACAACCCCUAAUCGACUCAAAACUGUAACAAGUAUAGACAAGACUCUAUAUAGUUUAAUCAACUAUAAGAACAUUGAAAACUUCUACAGAUGAUAACUAUACAUAGUCACGAACCAAAUCUGACCAUACACUACACCAAAAAGUCAGAAAUUAGAAACUAGAUUUGAUUUACAGUGAAUACCACCGGUCUUGAAGAGGUGAGGUUACACAAGAGUUUAGAGAGAGAAAAGUAAGAGGUUGAAAGAAUGAAUGAAUGAAAAUCAAUCAGACGAGCCAGCUCAAGAGUGUAAAAUAUGCCUUUAAGCCACAGCCGUUAGAUCCACGUCAACGAUCCAAAUCAGCCACAAGAAACACGGAUCCAAAUCACCAUAAAUCAACUAACAGAUUUAUGCUAAGUGGUUUUUUUCACUUUUGAAAACCAACUUGGAAAACACAUUUUACAAUGCCCGAAUGUUGGUUAGCUCUGUAAAUGCUUUUGGGAAGGAGAGGAACUGCUUGCACUUUGAUGAGUUUGCAUUUUAUGAGCCAAAGAGGCCAGUUGCUGCUGGAGUUGAAUUUGUGAUUUAUGGGUAAGUUUAAGAGAAAUUGGGUUUUGUAUUUUGUGUUUCUAAUAUUGAUUUAUGGUUUUAUAGAGACGACAGUGGUGAAUGGUGGUGGGGAAAGAGAAAAAACGAAGAGGAAGUGAAUUUU
rnacentral:lncRNA from 1 species